UACAGAGGGUGCGAGCGUUGUCCGGAAUCACUGGGCGUAAAGAGCUCGUAGGCGGUUCGGCAAGUCGAAUGUGAAAUCUCCACGCUCAACGUGGAGGGGUCAUUCGAUACUGCCGUGACUUGAGUACGGUAGGGGAGUGUGGAAUUCCCGGUGUAGCGGUGAAAUGCGCAGAGAUCGGGAGGAACACCCGUAGCGAAGGCGGCACUCUGGGCCGAUACUGACGCUGAGGAGCGAAAGCGUGGGGAGCGAACAGG
rnacentral:rRNA from 1 species